UACGUAGGGGGCGAGCGUUGUCCGGAAUUACUGGGCGUAAAGGGUGCGUAGGUGGCCUUUUAAGUUGGAUGUGAAAUACCCGGGCUUAACCUGGGGGGUGCAUCUAAUACUGGGAGGCUAGAGUGCAGGAGAGGAAAGCGGAAUUCCUAGUGUAGCGGUGAAAUGCGUAGAUAUUAGGAGGAACACCAGUGGCGAAGGCGGCUUUCUGGACUGUAACUGACACUGAGGCACGAAAGCGUGGGGAGCAAACAGG
rnacentral:rRNA from 1 species